rnacentral:lncRNA from 1 species
CGAGUGUGGUAAUGGAGUGGGAGUUUGACGGGUCGACACUGUGCAGGAUGAUGGAUUGGAGCCGGUGUAGGUCAAUGGCAUGGCCGCCGAUGUUGUACCUGUCGUGCGCUCCAAACUUGUACGUGUGUUGAUGAGUACACAACUUUGAUCGUAGGGUCUCGUCAUGACCUACGAUCUGAUGUGACUUGGCUCCCUGGCCGGCCAGCGGCCUUGCUAACCAGCCCUGGGAACGGCCGCCUCGCUCCUAGCCGGCCAGCUCGUCCUGGACGGCUAGAGGGAGGUGUCCGUCUCGCCUAUAGCCGGCUGGGGCUUCCUAGCCGGCCAAAGGGUUUUGGCCGUCUCGUCUCUAGCCGGCAAGGGAUUCCUAGGUGGCCAGAGAGAGAGAGAGUUGUGCUUUUCCUUCGAUGUAGAAGGCAAAGGAGCAGGCUUGAUGAGCCUACCCCGGGGUUAUGCCCCCGUCACCAUGGGACCUCGCCGCCGAUGACUCACUGCACCUCA